GCUCAAAUUUGAAAUCUUAAAGGGUUUCCCUUUACGAAUUGUAGUUUAAAGAAGUGUUUUCUGUUGAGGUUUUGGUAAAAGUUCUUUGGAAUAGGACAUCAUAGAGGGUGAGAAUCCCGUAUUUGACCUUUACUUUCAACUUUGUGACACACUUUCAAAGAGUCGGAUUGUUUGGGAAUGCAGUCCAAAAUGGGUGGUAAAUUUCAUCUAAAGCUAAAUAUUGGCGAGAGACCGAUAGCGAACAAGUACCGUGAGGGAAAGAUGAAAAGAACUUUGAAAAGAGAGUUAAACAGUACGUGAAAUUGUCAAAAGGGAAGCGUUUGACACCAGUGUUGUUUUUCUGAAAAUCAAUUAAAGAACUGUUUAUGCUAAGCUGUUUAGACUUUAUCAGCUAACUGUUUAGUUUUGAGCUUUUCUUUAAUGCACUUUUCAGUUAACAAG
rnacentral:rRNA from 1 species